GCUCUGCCCUGCUUCCUCUCAAAUGCUUGUGUGUGUAUGUUGGGAAUGGCGGCCGAUGUAGAGGUAGCUGGUGUGUGUUUAUGUGUAGAGUGUGUAGGGGGGGUGUGUGUCUCACCUGCUUCCGUGUCCGCGUCUUCCCAGUCCGCAGCUUGAUGUAUCGCGCUAUCAGCUCGUUCCGUCCUGCGGGAGGGAGAGGGUUAAGAAACAACAUUAGGCAAAGGCAAAGCCCCCACCGCCCAACCCCCACCCAACCCUCCCCUCAACAACCCCCAACACGGAGGUCAAACUCUUCGGACGGCAUCACAUUUAAGCAGAUGCUAAUAUAUCACCUAGCUCAUCUGAAAACGCAUGUGUCACUGGAUCAGUGGCUGGAGUUGAGCUAGUGGUGGCGGGACAUGACGACAGAAACACAUGCCUGGUCUGUGGCUGGAGCCUGGGGAGCACGGGGUUGUUUGACAUGGUGGGGAAAUGUUUACUGAGACAACCUCAUCACGGCGCUCGGAGAUCGGUUAAUUUGAAUUGUAAAUGAAGCACCAUGUGUGUGAUCUGUGAGGGCACUGGCCCAGUGCUGACAGACAGGUCACAGUGGCGGAGCAGGUGAAGAAGGCCAGGCCAUGCGAUCCAGGGGGAGGACCGAGGGCUCGGAGAGACUCCCAGCUCGGUGUGGACAGCGGGGACAGGCGAGGGGGAAGCGCUGGUGAAACACAGGAGUGGCCUGCAGCUGGUGUGUGUGUGUCAAUGUUUAUAGAAUAUGCCUCUUUACGACCGCAGUAAAUCUUCAGCUUGUUCCAUUGUAA